UUUCCGUAGGUGAACCUGCGGAAGGAUCAUUAAUGAGUUGUCAUGGGGUUCGAUGCUGGCAGCCAGUUUUUGGAUGCAUGUGCUUGCCCUAACAAUCAUCUUCUUCCAAACACCUGUGCACAUUUUUGAGGGAGUCUUGAGUUGGUUGCCGCUCUUGGGUGAUUUUCUCACAUUCCCGUAAAUCAUUAUACGCUAUUAACAAUGUUGAACGUGCUCUGUGCCGCAAGGCCAUUAAUAUAAUACAACUUUUAACAACGGAUCUCUUGGCUCUC
rnacentral:misc_RNA from 1 species